rnacentral:rRNA from 1 species
AAUACAAGGAGCUUGCUCCGAGCUAUUUAGUGGCGAACGGGUGAGUAUCACGUGAGCAACCUGCCCCGAAGACCGGGACAACACCGGGAAACCGGUGCUAAUACCGGAUAUCCCUAUCGGACCGCAUGAUCUGAUAAGGAAAUGGAUUCCGCUUCGGGAGGGGCUCGCGGCCUAUCAGCUAGUUGGUGAGGUAAUGGCUCACCAAGGCAUCGACGGGUAGCUGGUCUGAGAGGACGAUCAGCCACACUGGGACUGAGACACGGCCCAGACUCCUACGGGAGGCAGCAGUGGGGAAUCUUGCGCAAUGGACGAAAGUCUGACGCAGCAACGCCGCGUGGGGGAUGAAGCUUCUCGGAG